rnacentral:rRNA from 1 species
UUGGAGAAGUUUGAUCCUGGCUCAGGACGAACGCUGGCGGCGUGCCUAAUACAUGCAAGUCGAGCGAGCGGAACCAGCAGAUCUGCUUCGGCAGUGACGCUGGGAAAGCGAGCGGCGGAUGGGUGAGUAACACGUGGGGAACCUGCCCCAGAGUCUGGGAUACCACUUGGAAACAGGUGCUAAUACCGGAUAAGAAAGCAGAUCGCAUGAUCAGCUUUUAAAAGGCGGCGUAAGCUGUCGCUCAGGGAUGGCCCCGCGGUGCAUUAGCUAGUUGGCAAGGUAACGGCCUACCAAGGCAAUGAUGCAUAGCCGAGUUGAGAGACUGAUCGGCCACAUUGGGACUGAGACACGGCCCAAACUCCUACGGGAGGCAGCAGUAGGGAAUCUUCCACAAUGGACGCAAGUCUGAUGGAGCAACGCCGCGUGAGUGAAGAAGGUUUUCGGAUCGUAAAGCUCUGUUGUUGGUGAAGAAGGAUAGAGGUAGUAACUGGCCUUUAUUUGACGGUAUCAACCAGAAAGUCACGGCUAACUACGUGCCAGCAGCCGCGGUAAUAA